AUGGCGGAGUUGGUGGCUACCAUGGCGAUCCGGCCACUGGUGUGCAUGCUGAUGAACAAGGCGUCCAGCUCCCUCCUGGACCAGUACAAGGUGAUGGAGGGAAUGGAGAAGCAGCACAGAAUUCUCAAACGCAAGCUUCCAGCCAUCCUUGAUGUCAUCACCGACGCCGAGGAGCAGGCAACGGCACACAGAGAAGGUGCGAAAGCCUGGCUCCAGGAGCUCAAGAUAGUGGCAUAUAAAGCAAAUGAAGUCUUUGACGAAUUCAAAUACGAAGCACUCCGACGUGAAGCCAAGAAGAAUGGGCACUGCACCAAGCUCGGCUUCAAUGUAAUCAAACUCUACCCUACUCACAACCGUGUUGUGUUCCGUUACAAAAUGGGUCGCAAGCUUUGCCAGAUUCUACAGGCCAUCGAGGUACUCAUAGUAGAGAUGCAGGUCUUUGGGUUCAAGUACCAACCACAACCACCAGUCUCCAAGCAGUGGAGGCAAACAGAUUAUGUUAUCAUCGACCCAAGAGAAAUUGUUGGCAGAUCUAGAGGCAAAGAUAAGAAGAAUAUUGUUGAUACACUAUUUGGUCAAUCUACCAAUGUAGAUCUCACCAUUGUACCCAUUGUUGGAAUGGGUGGCCUUGGCAAAACCACGUUAGCACAGCUCAUAUACAAUGAACCUGAAAUUCAGAAGCAUUUCCAGUUGCUACUUUGGGUCUGUGUCUCUGAUACUUUUGAUGUGAACUCCCUGGCUAAGAGUAUAGUUGAAGCAUCUCCCAACAAAAAUAAUGAUACAGACAAACCACCACUCGAGAGACUUAAAAAAUUGGUUAGUGGACAGAGGUUUCUCCUUGUACUGGAUGAUGUGUGGAACAGAGAGGUCUAUAAGUGGGAAAGGCUGAAGGUCUGUCUUCAACAUGGUGGCAUGGGUAGUGCAAUGUUAACAACAACUCGUGAUAAACAAGUCGCUGAAAUUAUGGGUGCAGGUAGAGCCUACAAUCUCAAUAUUUUGGAGGAUUGCUUCGUAAAGGAAAUUAUUGAGGCUAGAGCAUUCAGUUCCGAGAAAGAAAAGCCUGUCGAGUUAAGCAAGAUGGUUGAUGAGAUUGUAAGCAGAUGUUCUGGCUCUCCUUUAGCUGCAACUGCACUGGGCUCUGUACUUCGUACCAAGACUAGCGUCGAAGAGUGGAAGGCUAUAUCAUCUAGAAGCAGCAUUUGCACUUUGGAAACUGGAAUUCUGCCAAUAUUAAAGCUUAGCUACAAUGACUUGCCAUCACACAUGAAGCAAUGCUUUGCCUUUUGUGCUGUAUUUCCAAAGGAUUACAAAAUUGAUGUGGACAAGCUGAUCCGACUAUGGAUCGCAAAUGGCUUUAUCCCAGAGCACAAGGAAGAUAAUCUUGAAACCAUUGGAAAACAUAUUUUCAUUGAGCUUGCCUCAAGGUCAUUCUUUCUGGACAUAAAGGAAAGUAAAGACUUCGGGGGGUAUUAUUCCAUGAGGUAUUAUCCCAGAACUACAUGUAAAAUCCAUGAUCUCAUGCAUGAUGUUGCAAUAUCUGUUAUGGAAAAGGAAUGUGUUGCUGGAACUAAGGAAUCAAAUCAAAACGAGUGGCUUUUAGAUAAUACUCGUCACUUAUUUUUGUUGAGUAGAAAUAUAGAAGGUAUUUUGAAUCAUUCUAUGGAGAAACGAUCCUCUGCUAUCCAAACACUAUUAUGCAAUAAUGUUGUCUGGAGCUCACUACAUCAUCUAUCAAAGUACAGCUCUUUGCAUGCCUUGCAAAUCUGUAUGAGAACAGAAAUAUUUCUCCUGAAACCAAAGUAUCUGCAUCACCUGAGGUACCUUGAUCUCUCAGAAAGUCGUAUCGAAGCACUUCCUGAAGAUAUAAGUAUUCUAUAUAAUUUGCAAAUGUUGGACCUUUCCAACUGCUCUGAUCUUGUUCGACUUCCGAGGCAAAUGAAGUAUAUGACUUCCCUCUGUCACCUCUACACUCAUGGAUGUUUUAAAUUGAACAGCAUGCCUCCAGAACUUGGAAAACUCAUUAACCUACGAACACUUACAUGUUUUGUAGCAGCAAUUACUGGCACUGAUUGCAGUGAUGUUGCAGAGCUGCAGCAUUUAAACCUAGGUGGUCAGCUAGAGCUACGUCGGGUAGAGAAUGUUAUAGAGUUGGAGGCAAGAGUGGCAAAUCUUGGAAACAAAAAGGAUCUCAAAGAACUGACUUUAAGAUGGAGUUAUGUUCGGGACAGCAAUGUGCUCGACAAUUUUGAACCACAUGAUGGAUUGCAGGUUCUGAAGAUAUAUUCCUAUGGAGGCAAGUGGAUGUGCAUGUUGCAAAACAUGGUGGCCAUCCAUCUUUUUCAUUGUGAAAGAUUGAAAGUUUUGUUCAGGUGUGGUACAUCCUUCAGUUUUCCUAAACUGAAGGAGAUUACGCUGGAACAUCUGUUGGAUUUUGAGAGAUGGUGGGAAAGAAAUGAGAGGCAAGAAGAACAAAUAAUAUUUCCUGUGCUUGAUAAGUUGUUUAUUAAGUAUUGUGGAAAGUUGACGGCGCUGCCAGAACCAUCCUUGCUUCAAGAACCGUGUGGUGGAGGUUAUAGGUUGGUACGCUCACCAUUUCCUGCCCUAAAGGUACUUGAAUUGGACAAUUUGGAGAGCUUCCAGAGAUGGAAUGCAGUUGAAGAGUCUCAAGGAGAACAGAUAUUGUUUCCUCAGCUUGAGAAACUAAUAAUUCAGAAAUGUCCAGAGUUGUUAGCAUUACCAGAAGCACCAUUGCUUCAAGAACCGUGCAGUGGAGGUGGUUAUAGAUUGGUGCGCUCAGCGUUUCCUGCCCUAAAGGUGAUCAAAAUGAAUGACUUGGAGAGCUUUCAGAGAUGGGAUGCUGCUGCUGAAAGAGAAUAUAUACUGUUUCCUUUGCUUGAGGAACUAUCCAUUCAGAAAUGCCCAAAGUUGAUAGGUUUGCCCGAGGCACCAUUUCUUCAAGAACCAUGUAGUGGAGGUGGUUAUAGAUUGGUGCGCUCAGCGUUUCCUGCCCUAAAUGUACUCAAACUCAAUGGCUUGGAGAGCUUUCAGAGAUGGGAUGGUGCUGCUGAAGGGGAACAUAUGUUGUUUCCCCAGCUUGAGAAAGUAUCAAUUCAGAAUUGCCCAAAGCUGAUAGAUUUACCUGAAGCACCAAAACUCAGUGUAUUGGAAAUUGAAGAUGGCAAGCAAGAGAUAUUCCAUUGGGUAGAAAGAUAUUUGUCUUCGUUGACCAAUCUGGUAUUGAAGCUAGAGUACACAGAAACAACAUCAGGGGCUCAGUGGACUUCAAUUGUACCGGUGGACAGCAAGGAGAAAUGGAACCAGACAUCCCCUAUUGCAGUUAUGAAGUUAGACUGCUGCAACUCAUUCUUUGGACCAUGUGCACUAGAGCUGUGGGACUAUUUUGUACACCUUGAAAAGUUGGAAAUUGGUAGAUGCAAUGUGCUCGUCCACUGGCCACGGGAAGUGUUCCAAAGCUUGGUAUCCUUGAGGAGGUUAGCAAUUACACACUGCCAAAAUCUGAUUGGAUAUGGACCGCCUCUUCCUGGGCCAUCAGCAAUAAGGAGUCAUCAUCUACCAGGUCUGGAGUCUCUUCUAUUGAAAAAUUGUCCAUGUUUGGUAGAGAUGUUCAACGUCCCGGCAUCUCUCAAGAAAAUGAAUAUUUAUGGGUGCUGUAAGCUUGAGUCCAUUUUUGGCAAGCAGCAGGGCAUGUCAAAGUCAGUUCAUGGGUCUUCUUGCAGUGAGGCAAUCGUGCGCACUGCUGUAUCACCCGCGAAUCACUUUUGUCCAUGCCUAGAAGAUCUAGAGUUACUUGGCUGUGGUAGUUUACCAGCAGUUCUACAUCUCCCUCCAUCCUUAGAGACCAUCUUUAUUGCUAGCUGCUUUAGUAUUCAAGUCCUGACAUGUCAGCUAGAUCAGCUCCAGAAACCACAAGUCGUUGCUUCCAUCAAUGUACCAGAGCCAUCAUCGGCAGCAGCAAGCAAGCAUUCACUUCCUCCUCGUCUCCAAUCUCUAAAAAUAUACUCCUGUACUAACAUGUUGGGGGGGAUUCUCCUGCCCACGUCCCUCAAGGAACUGUGCAUUAGUAGUAACAUGUGGUUGACAUCUUUGGAGUCUCUGUCAGGAGAGCACCCCCCAUCGUUGGAAUCCCUUUUGCUUCAUAGAUGCGGAACCCUUGCAUCACUGCCGAAUGAGCAGCAAGCAUACGGGUCUCUAAAGUGGCUUAGAAUUACAGGUUGUCCUGGUAUAAAGAAGCUCCCUAGAUGCCUGCAGCAGCAACUGGGCAGCAUUGACGACAAAGAACUGGAUGCCCAUUAUUUAGUAACAGAAUUUAAACCAUUUAAACCGAAGACAUGGAAGGAAAUACCAAGACUUGUUCGUGAGUGGAGGCAGCCUACCGAAAUUGGUGAUCAGUCAUCUUCUUCAGAUGCAUUUACUUCAGAUGUAUCAGAUCCUUCAAUGAACACCGAAAUUGGUGACUAUUCACUUGUGCUAGCUCUCGAGCGAGAGUUGUUUGGGGCCUAUAGUGUAGGGUGA
rnacentral:rRNA from 1 species